AGUGAACGCUGGCGGUAGGCCUAACACAUGCAAGUCGAACGGCAGCACAGUAAGAGCUUGCUCUUACGGGUGGCGAGUGGCGGAUGGGUGAGGAAUACAUCGGAAUCUACUUUUUCGUGGGGGAUAACGUAGGGAAACUUACGCUAAUACCGCAUACGACCUACGGGUGAAAGCAGGGGAUCUUCGGACCUUGCGCGAUUGAAUGAGCCGAUGUCGGAUUAGCUAGUUGGCGGGGUAAAGGCCCACCAAGGCGACGAUCCGUAGCUGGUCUGAGAGGAUGAUCAGCCACACUGGAACUGAGACACGGUCCAGACUCCUACGGGAGGCAGCAGUGGGGAAUAUUGGGCAAUGGGCGCAAGCCUGAUCCAGCCAUACCGCGUGGGUGAAGAAGGCCUUCGGGUUGUAAAGCCCUUUUGUUGGGAAAGAAAAGCAGCAGGUUAAUACCCCGCUGUUCUGACGGUACCCAAAGAAUAAGCACCGGCUAACUUCGUG
rnacentral:rRNA from 1 species